rnacentral:lncRNA from 1 species
GCCUUGUUACUUUCUUUCUGCAAAAACUAAAGCCAGGAAUCAUUUUCAGUGAAUCAAUUGAAUACAGCUAGUAGAAACAUAAAAAGGUGGUGGCAAUUAAACAGUAAGAAAGCAUCUGGCAUAAAUUAAGUGAACAGAUCACCAAAUCAUUUGGAAAACAAGCCGAGCAUGCCAAGAACCAAGGAGCCCAGGGCAGGCUGCACGGCAUGCCCUGUGCCCCAACCACACUGCUUCCUCUUCUGAAUCUCUGCACCCCUAAGUCUGGUUCAGUUUUGAGCUUCAGGCGUGGUCUCAUCCCUUUGGCACUUCUUUUUUCCAACCAAAAGUUCUCAGCUUCAAAAAAAAAAAAAAAAAGAUGAGCAUGUUCAAUGACAAGAAAGUCUGUUUGAUGGUAAUCUAUAAAUUUGCCACAUAAAGCAUAAACCAUACCACAAAAAGCUUAAAGGAAUACCCACUGAAUUCCAACUGCUGAAGGUUGUCCUGCCCUUUCCUUAUGGUCUCCAAACACAAGCUUGUUUUAUGUCACAUUAUUUUCUCCCCUCUUUAUGGGCCAGAUUCAAUUUGUCACUACUUGGAUAUUGAACACUUUUUGCAAAUUAAAGAGAAAGUCACCUCAGGCAAUUUUCAAAUAGAGGCUUAUUGGGGACUUGAUAAUACUGCAAAUCAUUAAAGAACUUAGGUUCUGUACCUCUGCCCUCACUGAUCAAAUAGAGGCCACUCCUUUGAAGCCAGCAAGGACCCAUGGGACUGACCUAAUGUUUUUUGCCUUCAGCUUCUGAAGCUUAUCACAUUACUAAUGUUUGAGUCUCUAAUCCAGCUGGCUAGUUUAAUCAUCUUGAAGUAAAACAAUACUAUUAA